CAGGUUGUGCGUCUUUCCCCACGUGAGUCCACAUUCUUUUCUACCCUAGGAUUACUACUGGCACAGAGGAAGUUGAACCACUGUCCCCCUUUGGUUGGAUGUUUGCAAUACUUCUGCUUUUAUACUGCAACAAACAAUACUUGUGCUUUCCCUCCAUCUAGCACUGUGCCUCCAGGAGAGAGGGUUUUUUUCUGGUCGCCCCUGCAGACAUGACCCUGCUUGUCCCUGGCCAAUCCCAGGGCCAGACUGGAUUGUUGGCCCUCUGACUCACCCUAGAAGGCCUGGGGCUGGAGAGGCCUGGAACUCCUCGGAGAAGCCAAAGAUUUUGCAGAAUCAAGGAUGGAUGGAGUAUCAAAAUAAGGAACGGAAAAAACUGAAGAUAUACUAAGGAUUAAGGCCCAGGUUCAUCUAGUGUCCCCAGGUGCCAGGCAUUGUGCUGUGACUGUGAUGUGAAAAAAGAGGCCAGGACAACUGGUAAGGGCCCCCCCACCGGACCCCCGCACACACACACACAAGGCAGAGUUGCAGAGCUCAGUGGGAAGGAAGGCACUAGGAAGAGGAGUGAAACUGGGGAGGGAUGAGGCGAGCUGGCUGGGGAGCACAGCCACUGAGAGCCACACGUGCUUCAGCACAGCUGGAUCAGAGGCUGGGUAGGAGGGUGACAGGGAAAGAGAGAAGAAGCGGGCAGACUGCAGAGUAUCUGAGACACGUUAGAGGAUCUGGACUUUAUCCACAGGGCAAUGGCAACAUGUCCAGGGGAUGAGCCAUCAGGCUUUAUAUUUUAGAACGUGCACUUGGUCGGCCACAUAAAGGACAAAUUGUAGGGGUGAGAUUGAGGAGAGUCUGGACUAAGAUACUGGCAGAGAAGAGGAUGAGAACUGGAGUUGGAAUGGAAGGAGUUGGUGGCUGGUCAGGUAGGAGCAGGGAGCCUAGAGGACACCCUGGUAUCUGGGUAUUGGGUGGUGGUAUCACUGCCUGGGCAGGCCAGCCCAGCCCAGGAAGAGCACCUAGGGUUAGGGAGAGGGGGAAGCUGAAGUUAGUUGUGAACAUGUCUGGAGGUCUCUGUGGGACAUCUAGAACCUGGAGGUACUGACUUAGAACACAAAACGGUAAUUUCAUUUUGGGUUAUUAAAACACAAAGAUGGUAAUACAAGUCAAGGGAGCAAAGGCAUCCCCUCAGGAGGCUGCAGCGACACAGCUGUGAUGUCCUAUCAACCACCCACAGGCAGGGCCUGAAGAUGACUGCCGCUGCCUGGCUCUGCUCCUUUCCAGCUGUGUGGCCUGAGGAGUGCUGUCCACUUCUCUGAGUCUCAGGCCUCUAUAAAGUAGGGA
rnacentral:lncRNA from 1 species